AGGGCACGAGGUGGAUGCCUUGGGACAUGCUGGCGAAGAAGGACGGUGAAGGCCACGAAAGAGUGCGGUGAGCUGCCAAUCAAGCGUUGACCCGCACGUGUCCGAAUGGGGAAACCCCGCGAGAAGAGAUUCUCGUGAUCCUUUACUGAGUGAAGUAGGUAGAGGAAGCAGACGGAGGGAAUUGAAACAUCUCAGUACCUCCAGGAAAAGAAAUCAAGUACGAGAUCCCCCGAGUAGUGGCGAGCGAAACGGGGAUAGUCUAAACCAGGAGACGCAAGUCUAUCUGGGGUUGCGGGAGCCCAAUGUGGGACUUACGACGAUAAUCGAACGGUCUGGGAAGGCCGGCCAAAGAGGGUGAGAGCCCCGUAGGUGAAAUCGAAGUGAGCUCUAGGGAAUUCCCAAGUACCAUGGGGUCGGAGACGCCCCGUGGGAAUCCGGGUGCACCAUCAUCCAAGACUAAAUACAAGCAUGUCACCGAUAGCGCAUAGUACCGUGAGGGAAAGGUGAAAAGAACCCCGUGAAGGGGAGUGAAAUAGACUCUGAAACCCCGUGCCUACAAGCUGUAGGAGGGCUAUCCCUGUUAAAGGGUGAUGCCUGACUGCGUACCUUUUGCAUAAUGAGCCAGCGAGUUAGUGUCGGUAGCAAGGUUAACCCGAAUAAGGGGUAGCCGUAGCGAAAGCGAGUCUGAAUAGGGCGAGCGAGUUGUCGGCACUAGACCCGAAACGCGAUGAGCUAGACAUGACCAGGUUGAAGCGUCCGUAACAGGGCGUGGAGGACCGAACCGGUGCCCGUUGAAAAGGUCUCGGAUGAGUUGUGUUUAGGGGUGAAAGGCCAACCAAAUUGCGUGAUAGCUGGUUCUCCCCGAAAGCUAUUUAGGUAGCGUCUUAUGGAGAGUCACUGGAGGUAGAGCACUGAUUGGGCUAGGGGCCUUACCGGGUUACCAACCCCUAUCAAACUCCGAAUGCCAGUGAACUUACCCCCAUAGGAGGCAGACGGCGGGAGAUAAGUUUCGUCGUCAAAAGGGAAAGAACCCAGAUCGCCAGCUAAGGUCCCAAAUUUUACACUGAGUGGGAAAGGAUGUGACAUUCCCCUGACAACCAGGAGGUUAGCUUAGAAGCAGCUAUCCUUUAAAGAAAGCGUAAUAGCUCACUGGUCGAGGAAUGUUGCGCCGAAAACGUAACGGGGCUGAAGUGUAGAACCGAAGCUGCGAAUGUGGAAGAGCACGUCUCUUUCACGUGGUAGGGGAGCAUUGUCUAAGCUAGUGAAGCGGGAGCGGAAGCACCCGUGGAGGUAUGACAAGAGCUGCUGCUGGCAUGAGUAGCGAUAAACUAGGUGAGAAUCCUAGUCGCCGUAAGCCCAAGGGUUCCUGCACACGGCUCGUCCGGGCAGGGUUAGUCGAGUCCUAAGCCGAGGCCGAAAGGCGUAGGUGAUGGAAAUGGGGUAAAUAUUCCUCAACUCAGUGAGAAGCGUUAUCAACUCAGUCAGGACCGCGAAAGUUUCUUUUAGCCAGCUGUUGGUUGUGCUGGUGCAACCUCGUAGGGGUGUAGGGGAGGCAAAAUCCCCUCUACAGUUAUCCCCGAGAAGGGAAUCCGAUGGGAGUAAAGUCCCGUGAAGUGAAAGAAACUCUGCGUGCAAGAAAAGUGGCGGAGUGAGUUUCUCAUUGACUCGUACCGGAAACCGACACAGGUGGGCGAGGAGAGUAUCCUCAGGCGCGUGAGAGAACUCCAGUUAAGGAACUCUGCAAAAUGCUCCUGUAACUUCGGAAGAAGGGAGCCCGAUAGUAGGUGAGAAGACUUCGCGUCUUUGAGCCCAAUUCGGGGGCAGAAACCAGGGGGUAUCGACUGUUUAACAAAAACACAGGACUCUGCUAACUCAUUCGAGGAAGUAUAGGGUCUGACGCCUGCCCGGUGCCGGAAGGUCAUGGGGAGAGGUCAUGGGGUAACCCAGAAGCUUCGAACUUAAGCCCCGGUAAACGGCGGCCGUAACUAUAACGGUCCUAAGGUAGCGAAAUUCCUUGUCGGGUAAGUUCCGACCUGCACGAAUGGCGUAACGAAUUCCCCACUGUCUCGACUGGAGACUCAGCGAAAUUGGAGUCGCGGUGCAGAUACCGUGUUCCUGCGGCAAGACGGAAAGACCCCGUGAACCUUUACUGUACCCUGGCAUAGAACAUCUGGAAAACAUGUGUAGGAUAGGUGGGAGCCUUAGAAGCUUAGGCGCUAGCUUAGGUGGAGGCAACCUUGAAAUACCACCCUUGUGUUUUGGCUGUUCUCACCGUAGGUCGUCUAACCGGCCACGGGACGAUGUCAGGCGGGCAGUUUGACUGGGGCGGUCGCCUCCCAAAAAGUAACGGAGGCGCGCGAAGGUACCCUCAGGCUGAGUGGAAACCAGCCGUAGAGUGCAAGGGCAUAAGGGUGCUUCACUGCAAGACGGACAUGUCGCGCAGAUGCGAAAGCAGGUCCUAGUGAUCCGGUGGUCCCGAAUGGAAGGGCCAUCGCUCAACGGAUAAAAGGU
rnacentral:rRNA from 1 species